rnacentral:rRNA from 1 species
AAGGAAUUGACGGGGCCCGCACAAGCGGUGGAGCAUGUGGUUUAAUUCGACGCAACGCGAAGAACCUUACCAGGGCUUGACAUCCCCUGACCGCGUAUGAAAGUACGUUUUCACCCUCGGGUGACAGGGAGACAGGUGGUGCAUGGUUGUCGUCAGCUCGUGUCGUGAGAUGUUGGGUUAAGUCCCGCAACGAGCGCAACCCCUACGUUUAGUUGCUAACGCGUGAAGGCGAGCACUCUAGACGAACUGCCGUUGACAAAACGGAGGAAGGUGGGAUGACGUCAAAUCAUCAUGCCCCUUAUGUUCUGGGCUACACACGUGCUACAAUGGCCGGUACAGACGGACGCAAAGCCGCGAGGUGGAGCAAAUCCUAAAAAGCCGGUCUCAGUUCGGAUUGCAGGCUGCAAUUCGCCUGCAUGAAGUCGGAAUCGCUAGUAAUCGCAGGUCAGCAUACUGCGGUGAAUACGUUCCCGGGCCUU